rnacentral:piRNA from 1 species
UAAUAACAACAUUAAAAUCAGCAGUCUC